rnacentral:rRNA from 1 species
GACGAACGCUGGCGGCGUGCUUAACACAUGCAAGUCGAACGAUGAAGCUGGAGCUUGCUCCGGUGGAUUAGUGGCGAACGGGUGAGUAACACGUGAGUAAUCUGCCCUUGACUCUGGGAUAACUGCGGGAAACUGUAGCUAAUACCGGAUACGACACCUUCGGGCAUCCGAUGGGUGUGGAAAGAAUUUCGGUCAAGGAUGAACUCGCGGCCUAUGAGCUAGUUGGUGAGGUAAUGGCUCACCAAGGCGACGACGGGUAGCCGGCCUGAGAGGGUGACCGGCCACACUGGGACUGGUAGACGGCGCAGACUCCGACGGGAGGCAGCAGUAGGGAAUAUUGCACAAUGGGCGAAAGCCUGAUGCAGCAACGCCGCGUGAGGGAUGAAGGCCUUCGGGUUGUAAACCUCUUUUAGUUGGGAAGAAGCGAAAGUGACGGUACCAACAGAAAAAGCACCGGCUAACUACGUGCCAGCCGCCGCCGUAA